UUUAGGUGCUCAUCGAGUCUCUGCAGCUGCUCUUGGUUCUCCCUUUCAACAUUCUAGUGCUGAUGCGUCGUCCUCCUCGGUCAAGUUUCUCCUUCUUCCCUUAUCGACACCAUCAUUGCGGUUCUUCGGUCGUCGCUGCUCUCCGCUCGUCUACGAUGGCUUCCUUCUCAUGACUAGUUUCAUUUUCUUGAUUCUUCAUUGCUGAACCCAUCUCUGUCUCUCUCUGCUUCGCGGCUGAGCGUGGGUGAGUGGCAUAAUCACCCAGACCCGCUUUAAGUCCUGAUCAGAUGCGAAGUUUUUGGGGGAUGGCGAUUCUUGCAGCCCUCUUUUGAGCCAACCAGCAUUGGCUAGUUACAAGGAGGAGGCUGAAGAUGAAGUGAGAAAUAAAAGAAACGGGGUUCAAAGUCAAAACUUGUAUCCUGCACAGUUAUUCCUGGUAGAAAAUUUGGCUUCGCCCACAGAAUCUAUUAAAAGAAACCCCAUCAAUGGUUAUUGUUAUAUUAUACUCCUCCGAAGGUUGUCCCGAGAAGCCUAGCUAUGACUUAUGACAAUAGUCCUUCCAUCGUUAGGAGGAGAACUCACAGUAAUUAAAAGCAACUCCUAAAGCUGUAUGUCUUGGUGUGAAUAUUUUACACAAUUUGAAUUCGAUCGUUGCAGGGUGGUGUCACGUUGUUCAUGUAUAUAUCAAUUACCUCUGCCAGAUCUCUUCAAAAUGCUCUGAGUCAAUGCACUAAAUAAAUUUUAAAUCCCAUUAUACUGUACA